rnacentral:rRNA from 1 species
GACGAACGCUGGCGGCGUGCUUAACACAUGCAAGUCGAACGGAAAGGCCUUUUCGGAGGUACUCGAGUGGCGAACGGGUGAGUAACACGUGGGUGAUCUGCCCUGCACUCUGGGAUAAGCCUGGGAAACUGGGUCUAAUACCGGAUAGGACCGCACUUUAGUGUGUGUGGUGGAAAGUUUUUUCGGUGUAGGAUGAGCCCGCGGCCUAUCAGCUUGUUGGUGGGGUAAUGGCCUACCAAGGCGGCGACGGGUAGCCGGACUGAGAGGUUGGUCGGCCACAUUGGGACUGAGAUACGGCCCAGACUCCUACGGGAGGCAGCAGUGGGGAAUAUUGCACAAUGGGCGCAAGCCUGAUGCAGCGACGCCGCGUGGGGGAUGACGGCCUUCGGGUUGUAAACUCCUUUCGCCAGGGACGAAGCGUCUUGUGACGGUACCUGGAGAAGAAGCACCGGCUAACUACGUG